UAAAACCGAACAUAUCCCCCACCCCUUAUAAACAUCUCAGACAUGUAUACGACCAUCUCUGUAUGUUUAACAGACCAGGAACUCUCUACCCCUCCACCCGAGGCAUGUUAAGUGAUCUGUCUGGUACUGUGUGUGACCAAGUUUGCUUAUAGAGGUCACAUAUCCCUUCAGAGAUGCCAGGACAUUGUUGCUGAUUGACCCAUAAUUAUUAGCUUGACAGUGAUUAACAAGAAGACCGCAUGAAGACUCAGAAAUGUCACCAUUUUGGCUGUAUGAAGAGAGGCAUUCAUGCUGUGUGCUGGGCAGCAUCUCUCUUCUCGUAGAUGGUUGCAGCUUUAAACCGGCUGAAAAUUUGAGAAUGCAACCUUGGGCCCAG
rnacentral:lncRNA from 1 species